GCCUCAAAACUGGAGCCAGCUCACCUUGUAGCCUGAGCCCUGGUGAGGUCCGUCCCUGUAUCCCUCCCAGGGUGUCCUGAACUACCUGGAAUCCUGAACCAGCCAGUGUGAUUCCCACCUCUGAACCUCUGCAUGUUCAUCCCUACCACCUGAUGCUCCCAGUCCCCCGAAAUGGGACUUUAUUAUUUCCCAGCAGGCUGAACAGACUGAUAAAGAAAGUGAAGUUGGUGGAGAAGAGGCCUUCAGAGAACAUCUAGCACAAAGGGCUUCUCCAGCAUCACCAGUGAAAAAUCGGGUCUGGUCAGCAACCACCAUCUCUGAGAGGACUUCCAGGUACCCCCAGAUAGUGUGAAGUCUGCCCGACGCUCAUCAUGGAACAUUCCACAUCCCGGUUAGAGGUUGUCCAUCCCUGGAGGUCUUGUAUUAUGUGAAGCUAAAAACAUCCGAGUCGCACCUUUUAAGCUUGAAGAAGGCAUCUCGACCUGCUGUGGAUCCGAGGCUAUGCAGCAGCUGUUCCCAGAACCCGUCUUUGUCAUCCGGGCUGGGUGGAAUUACAGACCUCGGGAGUCAGGAAGGUUGCUGGACCUGAGGUCUCCCAGCAUUCCAGUCCCCCAGACAGAGUUUGGCUGGGGAGGGAGCUGAUGCCUUAUGGAUAACCUGUGGGCCCUGGGCCCCACUAGGUUGAAUGGACAGAGUCUCAGUGGCAAAAAGAGUGGCCGGAGCACAGUGGGAACCUUGGCACUUCUCCAUCUGGGGAAGCCUGAGGGAAGAAAAUUCUUGGGCAAGUUCUGGGCCACUGGGCCAGGGAAGCAACUUCUGGCUUCUGGUCAUUCAAAUAACUAAUUUGAAUGGUGAAGAAAGGGACAGAUUAGAGAUGGAACAGGGCGAGGAAGCACAAACCAGACAGAUGGUCUGAGUUAGCAGAGCUAGAGUCAGAUGGUUACGAGGCCAGCAAGGGGCCAUUCCAGUGGACUAUUUGGAUCUUAUUUGACUAGUGGGCUAAAGAGACAGUGUGAUCAGAGGAUGACCCCAUACCAAUCCCAACCUCUGAGCAGUUGUCCUGAGUAAUGGUAGACAUUUGACUGUACAUUUGGGUUCCCAGAGGCCCCUUUUCCCACAUGAUCUCACAGAAUCCUUGCAAAUUGCCAGUGAGGCUAUAUUUUUCAAAUAAGGAAACUGGGAUUGACAACCAAAGGCCAUGGGAAACAGAGCUGGAAGGCCUAGCUUCCUGGCUGCUGAAGCAAUCUGAAAACAGAUUGCCAGGGGUCCUGAGACCCAGAUCCUUCUCUUCCCACCCUUACCCCCUUUCCUGACAAAAUGCACAGGUUUCAAGGCUAAAGCCACAUGGACUCUAGUCUGACCAGGACAGAACUACUACUGGUAGUGGCUGGGGUACAGGAGAGAACAGAAGGCUUAGGGCUGUCUAUUAUCUCCAAAUGUUAAAAAAAAGAACUCUAAGCCCUUCAGUGUUUGCUGUGUGCCAGGCCCGCCAGUGUAGAUUCCCAGGCAGGCACCCCUCUUGAGGGCCAGGAUCAUCCUGGCUCCUUUCCUUGGCCAUGGGCUAGGCACAGGCAUUGCUGCUCUCUAACCCAUGCUCAGUUACCUGGAGAGUGAAAGCACUCAUGCUCCAGAACCAGACAGCCCUCAGUUCUGAUCCUGCUUCAGGUACUGGCUGCUGUGUGCCCUUGGGCACAUCACUUCACCUGUCUGAGCCUCAAUCCAGGUCAUCAUUUGUAAAGAGCAGAUAAAGGAAUAUCUUAAAGGGGGAAAUACAUAGAACAGUAUCUAUAAAGAGGCGCCUGGCUGGCUCAGUUGGUAGAGCAUACACCUCUUGAUCUCAGGAGCAUGGGUUCAAGCCCUGCUGGGCGUGGAGCCUACUUAAAAAAAAAAAAAAAAAAAGCAGUAUUUAUAGAACACUUAGCUCAGGGCCUGGCAAGGAGUAAUCAAUAAACAACUACAUUCAUCCCUUCUGUGGCCCUUCUAGUAGGUUCUGUUGCAAGCACAGAGCAGAGGCUGUCAGAUGUGAGCCUAUACAAAGUUUCCUUGGACUAUUGGCUAAAACAACAGACCUUCUGACUCCAAGGCCCGGGGAAGGCCCAGGAAUCUGGCCGUCCAUGGGCUCUAGAACCACAAGGUGCCGCAGCAAGAUGCAUGGACUAAUGGAGGAGCCUGCCCAGCCCAGCCCAGGGGUUCUGAUUGCCUGGUUCUGCUGUGUCCUGGCACUACAGCCUUCCUGGACAAUGGUCACUUCACUUGUGAAGUGGGGAAAAGAUCCAGGUCCAGCAAAAGACAUGCGUCACAGCACCAGCCCGCAGACCAGGAAGCAUGGAGCUCUAUUAUUCUCUGUGAUGCACUUGGAAAAAAUUACAGAUUUAAGCCUAUUGAUGCAAAAACCCUGAUUUGUUCUCAAAACUAGAGCUGAAUCCUUUACUCAAGAAGAGAAUUCUCAGAGAAGCCAGUUGUUCUCUAAAAUAAAAUCACAUAAAAUUUUCUAAUUCUGGACAAUCAGGCCAUUUCUCUGAUACACCAACACCUUAGGUUUCAAGUUUCAAGAUAGAAGUCAUCUAAGGAAAUACAAGCUCAACCUCUCAUUUGAUGGGAAAAGAAAUUGAAUAUACUAAGUCCAAGGUAACAGACCAUCAUCAAUUCAAUGAAAUGAUUAAAUUUACUCUGACUAUACAGUAUCGUAUUCUCCACGUUCAAACAGCACUUUCACACAUAUGUGCCCACUUAAUGACCCUAUGAGGUAGACAGCAGUGUCUCUAUUUAACAGUUGAGGAAAUCAAAGUUCACAGUGUUGAAAGGAUCAGCCCAUGAUCACCCGGCUUCGCUUCCUAAUCGCUGUGGCUGACCCAGGACUUCUCCCCAUGGCUGUGGGAAGCAUCAGACUGAUUCUGAAGAGAAGUAGAUGUAUUUGGGCCCCCAGGACCCAGAAGGUCAGCCUGUGGACAUGGAGGGGAAGACUGUUAAUGUCGGGGUGACUGUUGGGUGUGGGUACAGAGUGGUCACUCACAUGCCUUGGGUCCAGGAAAAUGGGCUACACCACUCCUAAAGGUUGUCUAUGUGCCUAGGCCCAUAUCAAGUAUCAGGGUGUCAGACAAUGCAGCCCCUGCCCUUAAAGAGGUGAUGAAUCAUUAAGAGACAGGGGUGACUUCCAUGAAUCAAAUGGAGAAGAGUAUUCAGCAAUGAAAAGCCAUGAACUACUGAUAGACACAGCAAGGAUGAUUCCUGAAAAUAUUAUAUUGAAUGGAAAAAGAGAAGCUAGACACAGCAGAAUGCUUACUGAUUGCUUUAUAUGAAACUAGAAAACGCGAAUCUAUAGAGAUAGUAAGCAGAGCAGUUGGUUACCUGAGGCCAGGGACAGAUGGACCAGGAUGAGGCAAAGAGGAACUUUCUGGAAACUGUCUAUAUCUUGACUGCAGUGGUGAUUACACAGUGUAUACAUUUUUGUGUAAACUUGU